AAAUCUGCUCUUUGGUUAUCGGUUAGCGCCGUACAAGGUACAGAGCUUUCGGCAUUUUGCAGUGCUCUAGUCUCUCAUGUCCCUGAGAGACUGAUCUCCAGCUUCACUAAGCCUAAAACUUUGAUUUCUUCUUCAGGGGAACGCUUAGCUUUGUCAGUUUUGAUCUGGAACCUGAUCACUCAAAGUCCCCGCCUUCCCUUCUGCCAAUUGCCGCUGGGAUCUCCUGAUGCAACAAUACAGCUGCAGGGGAUAGUUAACAUCAAGAACGUCUUCUAUGAAUCCUUUCCCUACUCGUAGGAUUCAGCCCAAAGACACCACUAAUUUGCUCUGAAGGAAAAUAUCAGGUCACCUGUGAGUAAAUAAACGAUUUGCUGUUUAUUUGUGGUCCAUUCCAGUUGUUUUGUUUACAGGCAGGCCCAAGCAUUGUAGCCUUCGUUGUCAUCCAGAGGACAUGAUAUCUUGUCUCUUCAUCAGCUUCUUUGAUUUAGUCCAAUAAUCUGGAUCAUUUGGUGCCAAUGUGCAGGACAAAUCCAAAAUUUCUGACCUUUUUUCUCAAUCAGGCCAGAGCAUCAAGUCUACCAGCAAAGAUUUUCUUGUGUGCAAGCUUAGAAAACUUAGAGCAAGCUUUAGGGACUGAUGCAGAGUUGUUUUACAGAUUAGGUGCAAACUUCUUAUUGGGACACAGCACGUCAUUGAAAAGUAUGGUGGAGAUUUGCUGCAGCAUGACUAUUAUGGGAAUCAAUAUUAGUAAAAAAUAAGCUGUGCAAGUAGAUGCAAAUGCCAACACAACGGUAUUUUGAUUGCUAAGAUAGCAUGACAUUAUUCUAAUCAUGACUUUCUUCUAAUGGGUCAAUAUCCAAAGGGAGUUCAGAUUUCAGAGGCUCCUUUCCAUCUGAAGUUUUGAAUGUUGUGCUUUAACCCGCACUCUCUUCGUCCUGCAUUCCAUAUUAGUUCAUGAAUAAUUUACCUGCAUGCUCGGUGGAGCUUUUUCUGCAAUGAAUUACUUCAAGAGUUUAAAUUGAAUAAGCUUGUGCAAGUUUUUUUUAAUUAUUCAUAUGGAUGUGGUAUACAAUCAAAUUAAACAA